GCUUUCCCCUAUACAACCUGUUUGGGGCAGAAACGACCUUCAGUGAAGCCACCGAUGACUUUUCCCAUCAAUCCACUCUACUCCAUCCCUCCAAACGGAGCAGUUUCUUCAUUCAGUGUCCCCAAAACAAGCCUAACUAUGGCAACACUGCCAGACGCAUCAUCUUGGAACACCAAGGACGUCGCUACACAGGGACAGUGUCUGCAUCUCCAGAUUGCGACCAAUCCCUUGAGCUGCUGGAAACUGAAACAAAGAAGGCAGGGAGUGAGUGAUGCGUGAGCCUGCGGCGAUUAAAGCGCUGAAAUAAGCAGUACGGGGCGGGGAGAAGAAAAAUAAAUAUUAAAAGAGUGAGCCCAGUAAAAGAGAGGGGAAUCAACAGAUGGGAAGGAGGAAGUUCAACCUGUGUUUCUUUCCUUCUCUUGAGCUGUCCAUUUUACUCAGUGCAAAUUGCUCGGGUGUCGUUGCCUUUUAUAGGCACCUGUAAAUAAAUGACUUCAAAACUGUCCCUCUGAUCCUAAAUAUGGGCACGGCAUUGGCUGAACACCUAACAGGUCCUUGGCCUAGCGGAAAGAGCCCGAGCCUGGGAGUCAGAAGACCUGGGUUCUAGUUCCGCCUCCACCCCUUGCCCCCUGGGCAACCUUGGACAAAUCGUUUACCUUCUCUAUGCGUCAGUUUCCGCUUCUGUGAAAUGGAGAGUCAAUACCUGUUCACCACUUUCCUCAGACUGCGAGCCCCAGCUGGGACAGGGACCGCAUUCGACCUGAUUUUAUCUUCUAUCUCUCUCGGGGAUUAGCACAGUGCUAGGCUCAUGAUAAGCGCUUAACAAAAACCCCGAUGAUGAUUAUCAUUCAUUGCUAUUGCUGUGACAGAAGCACACGAUACCCUUUGAGAGAACGGGCCUGGCACAUCAUCUCCCCCGCUAACCCACUGCCGGGAAAGCCAGUCUCGGCACAACGGGCUCUGCUAGGACGUGGACACACUUUAAAGGCCGAAGAGACUUGAACGCUUAAAUGGCAGUGGCAGAACUGAACUUUUAUAUCGAUUAGUCGAAAAACCUAGGCAAUCAUUCCUUACAAGUUGCCCUAAGCACACAAAACGGGCAGCAG
rnacentral:lncRNA from 1 species